UUAACACAUGCAAGUCGAACGGACUAAUUGGGGCUUGCUCCAAUCAGUUAGUGAUUUACGGGUGAGUAACACGUGGGAAUCGUACCCAUCAUUACGGAAUAACUUUUAGAAAUAAGACCUAAUACCGUAUAUUCUCUACGGAGGAAAUAUUUAUCGCUGAUGGAUGAGCCCGUGUCACAUUACGUAUUUGGUGAGGUAAUGGCUCACCACCCCGACUAUCUG
rnacentral:rRNA from 1 species